UACGUAGGGUGCAAGUGUUGUCCGGAAUUAUUGGGCGUAAAGAGCUCGUAGGCGGUCUGUCGCGUCGGAUGUGAAAAUCCAGGGCUCAACCCUGGACCUGCAUUCGAUACGGGCAGACUAGAGUUCGGCAGGGGAGACUGGAAUUCCUGGUGUAGCGGUGAAAUGCGCAGAUAUCAGGAGGAACACCGGUGGCGAAGGCGGGUCUCUGGGCCGAAACUGACGCUGAGGAGCGAAAGCGUGGGGAGCAAACAGG
rnacentral:rRNA from 1 species